rnacentral:rRNA from 11 species
AUUGCCAGAGGAUACUUUAAAGGCAACAGAUCCUAUCUGAUCUUGGAAGUUAAGCAAGGUCAGCUCUGGUUAGUAUUAGGAUUGGGAGACUACCAAUGAAUACUAUGUGCUAUAGAAU